rnacentral:rRNA from 1 species
GCAUCUGUGCAUGCAGCAUAUCAAUAAGCGGAGGAAAAGAAACUAACAAGGAUUCCCCUAGUAACGGCGAGUGAAGCGGGAAGAGCUCAAAUUUGAAAUCUUAAAGGGUUUCCCUUUACGAAUUGUAGUUUAAAGAAGUGUUUUCUGCUGAGGUUUUGGUAAAAGUUCUUUGGAAUAGGACAUCAUAGAGGGUGAGAAUCCCGUAUUUGACCUUUACUUUCAACUUUGUGAUACACUUUCAAAGAGUCGGAUUGUUUGGGAAUGCAGUCCAAAAUGGGUGGUAAAUUUCAUCUAGAGCUAAAUAUUGGCGAGAGACCGAUAGCGAACAAGUACCGUGAGGGAAAGAUGAAAAGAACUUUGAAAAGAGAGUUAAACAGUACGUGAAAUUGUCAAAAGGGAAGCGUUUGACACCAGUGUUGUUUUUCUGAAAAUCAAUUAAAGAACUGUUUAUGCUAAGUUGUUUAGACUUUAUCAGCUAACUGUUUAGUUUUGAGCUUUUCUUUAAUGCACUUUUCAGUUAACAAGUCAACAUCAAUUUCUUUUGCUGUAAAAAAGCUUGAGGAAGGUGGCUUGAGAUUCGUCUUAAGUGUUUAUAGCCUCUUGCCUAUGCAGUCGGAGAGAUUGAGGUCUGCAGCGUAGAUCCUUCGGGGCUAAAUGCAUUUGUGCUAAGUUAUAAGCAUUUUAUAGACAACUUGUUGACUAUGAUUUGUCUUGUAGCUUACUCGCUUAUGUUAUUUUACCUACGCUUAGGAUGUUGAACGCGCACAGAGUCUC